CAGGUGAAGCUAAUGAGGUCAAUCAAAAAGGAGGGAAACGCACAAGAGCAGCAGAAGAAAUCCUCCAUGCAUGGAGUCCAGACACUGCUGGUGGUGACUGAUGACUUUCUGGGACUGGAUGAAGACUGAAGACUUUGCGGAGACCAGGUGGCGAAGAGCAGUUUUCUUCCUCAGCACCAUGGCAACAGGAUUAUGUCUUAAGCUCAAGCAGAGACUUUCAAGGACAUGGCAGCAAGCCCUGGGAUGUACCUUUGAUUGAAUGAAAGGAACUUCAAACUGUUUUUGAUGCCGAGAUGUCACGAAUCUUUGAAAUGUUUUUCAUGUACUGUAACUCUGAACUCAGAGAAGGCUGGAGAAUAAACACUCAGACUCAUGUUCA